GGCUCAUAAAGAACUCAUGGGGAGAGAAGUGGGGUGACAGUGGCUACUUCAAGAUGGAGCUGGGCAAGAACAUGUGUGGUGUUGCAACUUGUGCUUCAUACCCCAUUGUUGCUUAGAGUACGAGAAUGGCAGAGCUUCUUGCAAGGAAAGAUACUGUGCUAUUAAGGUACGGCUAUGGUGGGUAGAAUGAUGUGCAAAUUAAAGUUACAUAUUCUUGUAGUUGAUCAUUUAAUGCAAACUGUAACGUAAUGUACUUGUGGUUGUAAAUUUGCAUACUCAGAGAUGCUUGGAUAAGUUUUUUUAUUAUGUACUUGCUAAUAGCUCUUUUGAGGUUAUGUAAAUUUGCUGGCAGCUCCUCUAAAUAAUUUC
rnacentral:misc_RNA from 1 species